AAUAGAUACCCUGGUAGUCCACGCCGUAAACGAUGAGUGCUAAGUGUUGGGGGGUUUCCGCCCCUCAGUGCUGCAGCUAACGCAUUAAGCACUCCGCCUGGGGAGUACGGUCGCAAGACUGAAACUCAAAGGAAUUGACGGGGGCCCGCACAAGCGGUGGAGCAUGUGGUUUAAUUCGAAGCAACGCGAAGAACCUUACCAGGUCUUGACAUCCCGGUGACCACUAUGGAGACAUAGUUUCCCCUUCGGGGGCAACGGUGACAGGUGGUGCAUGGUUGUCGUCAGCUCGUGUCGUGAGAUGUUGGGUUAAGUCCCGCAACGAGCGCAACCCUUAUUCUUAGUUGCCAUCAUUCAGUUGGGCACUCUAAGGAGACUGCCGGUGAUAAACCGGAGGAAGGUGGGGAUGACGUCAAAUCAUCAUGCCCCUUAUGACCUGGGCUACACACGUGCUACAAUGGACGGUACAAACGGUUGCCAACCCGGCGAGGGGAGCUAAUCCGAUAAACCGUUCUCAGUUCGGAUUGUAGGCUGCAACUCGCCUAC
rnacentral:rRNA from 1 species